CGCGCUUGCUAUCUCGCAAGUGCUCUUGCCUGCAUUAUCUUCGGCCACUACGGAGACAACAUCGAUAUACCAGUCCUAAGGAAACGGAAACGUAAUGGACCCUUUCCACACAGCAAUGACCCGCACCUUACCCGACCAGAUGGCGCUGACCUUAGAACACUGUGAGCUGAUUUCACUUUGCGAGGCCGCAUCUCCUGGAACAUCAGUCAGCCUUUCACCUACGAAAGAACUGCGACCAACUGCGGCACUUUGUGGGUUUGGCUGCUGUAUCACAGCGCAGAGCAGUAACAGGAUCGGCUUUGCCAUGCAGGCAGCGAAAUGCAACCAGAGACGCACGCAAAACGAGCAAUAGAAGCAAACGACCUAUUCGAAACGUGGGAGGCCAAGCUAACCCUCGGGGACCUGGAAGACCAACGACAACUCGUCGCCAGCGCCAAGAGGGCAGUCGAAGCCAGAGGGUUCCUGGACUAAGGAGCCUUCCCACCUUAGGGUGAUACCCGUCCUCGCUCGGGACACUGUUUCGUACAAUAAACGUUUAUUUCUCUCUC